UCCGGUUUGGCACCGGCAGUCUCCCUAGAGUUCCCGGCAUCACCCGCUGGCAACUAAGGACAGGGGUUGCGCUCGUUGCGCCACUUAAGGCAACACCUCACGGCACGAGCUGACGACAGCCAUGCACCACCUGUGCAGGCUCCGAAGAGCACCCGCUUUCACGGGUUUCACCCUGCAUGUCAAGCCCAGGUAAGGUUCUUCGCGUUGCAUCGAAUUAAGCCGCAUGCUCCGCCGCUUGUGCGGGCCCCCGUCAAUUCCUUUGAGUUUCAAACUUGCGUUCGUACUCCCCAGGUGGGAUGACGUUUCUAGAGGGUG
rnacentral:misc_RNA from 1 species